UACGUAGGGGGCAAGCGUUAUCCGGAUUUACUGGGUGUAAAGGGGGCGCAGACGGCGAUGCAAGCCAGGAGUGAAAGCCCGGGGCCCAACCCCGGGACUGCUCUUGGACUGCGUGGCUGGAGUGCAGGAGGGGCAGGCGGAAUUCCUGGUGUAGCGGUGAAAUGCGUAGAUAUCAGGAGGAACACCGGUGGCGAAGGCGGCCUGCUGGACUGCAACUGACGUUGAGGCCCGAAAGCGUGGGGAGCAAACAGG
rnacentral:rRNA from 1 species